rnacentral:lncRNA from 1 species
UUGGUCCAAUAUCACAGCUGCAAAUCCUGAUGAAGUUGAUUUCAACUUAUUUUGGCUAGCGAUGCAAGUAUUGCGAAAUGAGUGGGACUUCGUCAAGGUCCUUUUGAAUGUUCAAGAGUUGAUGCAGGUGAUGAAAACAUGCACCAGAUUCAUGAAAAUCAAUGAUUGUUUCUGAAAAAGUUGAUAGACCUGAUGCAUCAACAGAAGCAGUAAUGUGAUUAAAAGAUAUUUUUAUUAAGGUUGUAGGUUGUGUUUUUUUACAUAUAAAACAUUUUAAAAGUAAAAUUCAAUCUUUUUUUUUUACCAUUGAAGCAUUAUUUUUGCUAAAAAUAAGGAUGUGCUCCCUCUUUGAUUAAAAUCAUUUAAAAGACUUGUUAAAUCAUCUAUGUAGGCCCAUUUAUUAUGUCAUAUAUGUUGGACCUAAAAAAAAAUUAGAAGACAUCUUAAUAAGAAAUGUUCUUUCUGCCCUGAAUUCACAGAUUACCUCUGCAGUUAAACAGUGAUCUUCCACAUUCUUACAACAUAUUGAAAUAUAAACAUAUUUGGCUCAGUUAUGCUAGUGACACAUGUGCGAGAUACCAUGGCUCACAGUUACCCUAGCGGCACAUGUACAGGAUACCGUAUGGGAGCUCCACUACAUGGCAUGCAUUGCAGGUACAUGAUAUCUUCAAUUAUUUCUUGGAUCCCACGACGGAGAAAUGAUCUUGGAUGAAGAGGGAAAAUCGCAACAAUCCUGGCAAGAUCCUGAUGUGCAUGACUGAAACACAAGUUCGCCUCUGAUCUCUUGUCAAGGCAAGUUGGAAAUAAAAUGGAACAUCGUCACGCUGUUGAAGGCAUUCUGUUUCAGGUGCUGUUAUUUGGAAGAAAGCAGGACUCAGUGCAUCAAAUAUUGUACAUGUAGAUGAUCUCUCCCUCCUGAUGCUGUUUUGAAAAGAUAUUUUCACAUCCUAACAACAGUAUUAUCCAUGCUAAACAGAACAAAUUGUUUGACCAAGGGUAUCUUCAAGUAGCAUGGUCGUUUCAAAAGAUUGAUGUUAUUUGGCGAUGCUACAAACUGGGUAUUGUCCAGAGCUGCAGCAAACUUUUAAUGUAAUAUGAUGUUGGCUUAUCGUCCAGAGCUACUGCCAACUUUUGGUGCACAAAAUGGAACACAUCUCUCUUGAAAGGUCUUAUUUUUCACCAGAAUUGAGAACAAGUGAUCAAAGAUAUAGAAGACCCAAGCCUGAGCUGUGAGAUGACUUCAUUGUGGCCUUCAGCCAAAAUUGAGAUACUCCAUUCACAUGCACGUUAUGGUGUGAUUUUGUUUUUACGUCCUACUUUGCUUUGCCAGCUAGAGUGUGAGUAAGCCUACCAACAGCGGAGUGAUGGCGAUAAGUGUUGCAUUCCCAACGGUCAUCCAAAGCAGUAAAUUCGCUGACAAGGAGCGCUCACUGUCUGCCCUUGUAAAGUCAACAAGGCAAAUAUGAAGCUGGAAAUUUCCUGGGAAUGACUUGAUGCUUCCACGGUACAUCAAAGAGGGGCAAACAGCUGUAAGAUAAGUACGAGAUGGCCCAAAUCAAGACUGCAAAUCGAUAAGGACUUGCUUGACUUCCUGAGGCAGGCACUUAGCAGGUGAGAUACAUAGAGUAUGAGUGUGAGUUGGUCUGAAUCAUCAAGACAGCAAAACGAUGAGGACUUGACUGGAGGCAGAUAUAUUUCAGAACAUUAACAAAGAGACACCUGCAAAAACUUUGGAAGUGAGAAGAUAUGUCAAG